GCCCUUAGAGUUUGAUCCUGGCUCAGAUUGAACGCUGGCGGCAGGCUUAACACAUGCAAGUCGAGCGGGGAGAUGUAGCUUGCUACAUUUCCUAGCGGCGGACGGGUGAGUAAUGCUUAGGAAUCUGCCUAUUAGUGGGGGACAACAUUCCGAAAGGAAUGCUAAUACCGCAUACGCCCUACGGGGGAAAGCAGGGGAUCUUCGGACCUUGCGCUAAUAGAUGAGCCUAAGUCAGAUUAGCUAGUUGGUGGGGUAAAGGCCUACCAAGGCGACGAUCUGUAGCGGGUCUGAGAGGAUGAUCCGCCACACUGGGACUGAGACACGGCCCAGACUCCUACGGGAGGCAGCAGUGGGGAAUAUUGGACAAUGGGCGCAAGCCUGAUCCAGCCAUGCCGCGUGUGUGAAGAAGGCCUUUUGGUUGUAAAGCACUUUAAGCGAGGAGGAGGCUACUUGGAUUAAUACUCUAGGAUAGUGGACGUUACCCGCAGAAUAAGCACCGGCUAACUCUGUGCCAGCAGCCGCGGUAAUAAGGGC
rnacentral:rRNA from 1 species